rnacentral:rRNA from 1 species
CCCUUAGACGUUCUGGGCCGCACGCGCGCUACACUGAUGCAUUCAACGAGUCUAAAACCUGCUCUGAUAGGGGUGGGUAAUCUUUUGAAUGUGCAUCGUGAUUGGGAUAGAUGAUUGCAAUUUUUCAUCUUCAACGAGGAAUGCCUAGUAAACGCAAGUCAUCAGCUUGCAUUGAUUACGUCCCUGCCCUUUGUACACACCGCCCGUCGCUCCUACCGAUUGAAUGAUCCGAUGAAUAUCAUGGAUUGAGGAUGCAAGUAGGUUCACCUAUCUUCAUCUUCGAGAAGUGAAGUAAAUCUUAUCAUUUAGAGGAAGGAGAAGUCGUAACA